GAUGAAGAACGUAGCGAAAUGCGAUACUUGGUGUGAAUUGCAGAAUCCCGUGAACCAUCGAGCCUUUGAACGCAAGUUGCGCCCGAAGCCAUCAGGUUGAGGGCACGUCUGCCUGGGCGUCACAUAUCGUUGCCCAAUGCCUAUUGCAGUGCAAUAGGAAUUUCUAGGGCGAAUGAUGGCUUCCCGUGAGCGUUGUUGCCUCGCGGUUGGUUGAAAAUCGAGUCCUUGGUAGGGUGUGCCAUGGUAGAUGGUGGUCGAGUUAGAACGAUACCGAUCAUGUGCAUGCUCCCCAAAAUCUGGCCUCUAUGACCCACACGCGUCUUUUGACGCUCAUGACGAGACCUCAGGUCAGGCGGGGCUACCCGCUGAAUUUAAGCAUAUCAAUAAGCGGAGGA
rnacentral:misc_RNA from 1 species